GGACCACAGCAUGCUAAAAAGUCAAGAACAAAGUGGACAGCCCAAUCCGGCACUUUCUACACGACCAACACUGAUAGAAAACCAGGGCUGUGUCAUUCGGCUAGAGCCGAACCAGAGGUGUGUCUCUCUAUUUGGAUAGUUCUUCCUUCUGAAAUCCAAAAGUUGGGAUGUGGUAAACUUCUCAGAUCCUGCUUCUCAAUAUGGUAUUUUACAUGUGUUCUCUAAAAAUACUUUUUCACCUUCUCAGCUUAUAUCAGAGCAAUUUAGCACCAUUUGAUUAGAACGCCCAGCCCUUCUUUGUAGCCAGCCUGGACUGUCCUCCCCGUCUGGAGUCAUUUUGGCUGCAAAGUGAGGUCUCAGCGGGGUCAGCUGGGUGUCCAGACGUCAGGUAUCAGGCGUGUGGUGAGCGCCUCCAAGGCCACUUUCCUCUCAGCAAUGCCCACUAGGUGACGCCUGUGAAUGGAGUAGCUUUCCAGAGAGCAGGCUUCCUCUCUUCCUUCCUUCCCAGGCCCACAUCUUGCCUCGAAGAUGCUUAAGUGGCAGGAUCCUGAAGAAAUUAUUCUCUGCCUGUUGCUUAGAGAGAGGGCACGUGAGGAUCUCAGGCAGCCAGAAUACUCUUGCGACCAGAAUACUGACAUUUCUGCUUAGUGUGUGCGAUGGUCUAAUUAUAAAAGUGGGAAAAAGCCAAAAACUGUAUAACCUGAAGAGUUUUAGAUUUCUGGGUAGGUUCAUAACUGCUUUCCAAAUGCAAACAAAAUUGCCUGAACUAAGGUGGCUUCUGAUCGUCCUGGGGUGGUAAUCUGAAUACGUGAGCAUUCUGGAAGGAGAUUGGAGACAGGUGUGACUGGAGGCAGGUGUGAUUCUUUUGAGUAUAACAGCGGUUCCCAGACUGGAGUGUGCGUCAGAAUCAACUGCAGGUAUUAUGAAACCACAGAUUUCUGGGUCCCACUCCCAGAGUUCCUGAUUUGGAAAGUCUUGGAUGAGGUCUGAGAAUCUGCAUUUCUUACAAGUUCCCAGGUGAUGCUAAUGCGGCUGGUCUGGGGACCUCACCUAGAGAACCUCUGCAGGACAGCGUUCUGUUAACAAUAAGUUUCCAAUGCGCCACCACCCACCGGAAAAAGAGCACACAGUGACUGACAAGGCAGAGAAGGAUGAGCAAGCAAAAGGAUAAAAUUUUAACACAGAAACAAGGAGAAAGAGAAUGUUUCAGGAAAGGAGAAGAGGAGGAUAUCAACAGUGACAAGUGUUGCUGAGAAGUCAAAGGAGAAGACUGUAAAACAUCACGUUGGCUUAGCAAAAUAGAGGUCAAUGAUGGCUUUCGCCUUAUAUUUUUUGAUGGAUCAUUGAGGUCAAAGACUAGAGUGGGCUGAGCUGUGAAUAUGAGGUGAAGAAAUGGAGACCAUAAAUACAAAAUCUUUCAAAAGAUCAGUGCUUUCUAAUAGGACAUUAUUGAGAGAUUUGAGCUUUAAAAAAUUCAGUGGGGAGAGUUCUAGUUCUGGUAAUGACAUACAAUCUGCUUUAGACCUACUUUACCACUUAGGACAACUAGAAAAGCUGGGCACUGUAAAUCUAUAAGAAGGGCACUGAAAUAUCCCAGGGCCAGGUUCUUGGAAAGAAGGCUUGGAGUGAUGAGUCCAGCAUUUGGGACUGAUUUUACGUUGGAGGCAUUUGCUUAUUUCAUUUGCUGAUGAAGAGCUGAACACAGCUUCAACAAACUCAUGGAUUUGCAAAGUUGUAAGAUUGGGUUUUAGUGCCCUUCAAAGAAAAGGUGCCCCAGUGAACCACAAUCUUUAGAUUAAAACCACAAGAGCUUAUCAUUACUAUACGAGUAAGGGUGACCCAGAAACAGACCAGUCCUCAGACCCCAGAAAUAGAAACUGAAGUUUAGAUUUGAAUAAUCUCAAUCCCUGAUUGGCCUAUGGUGCUUUGGGAUUGUUAAUACUCCAAUCUCCUUGUCUGCAGAAGGAAGUUAAAUCCUCUCUAGAAGCUAACAUAUCCAAAGGUUCAAAUCAUCUCUCUAUUUUAAAUAAUAUUCAAAAUUCAAGAAAAAAUAACCAGACAUAAAAGUAGACAACUUGACUAUAAAUCAAGGGAGAUGAUAGGCUAUAGAAAUAUUCUCCUAAAGCAUCAGACAAGGAAGUUAUCAGUCAUAGACUUGCAAAUAACCAUGCUUAAAGAAUUAAAAGAAUAUUAAUUAUGAUGAAAGAUUUAUUCACCAGGAGGAUAUAACAAUUCUAAACU
rnacentral:lncRNA from 1 species